rnacentral:misc_RNA from 1 species
AGUGCACUUCCCUGACCUUCU